UAUCCAUGGUGAGGGCAUGCAUUUAAAAGAUCUUUGAAUCGUUACCAACAAUGAUAAAAAUUUUCCAAAUCAUUUUGGCAAAAAUUCAUGAUUUUUUUUUUCAAGGCA